CGUAUGGUGCAAGCGUUAUCCGGAUUUACUGGGUGUAAAGGGUGCGUAGGUGGCAAGGCAAGUCUGAAGUGAAAAUCCGGGGCUCAACCCCGGAACUGCUUUGGAAACUGUUUAGCUGGAGUACAGGAGAGGUAAGUGGAAUUCCUAGUGUAGCGGUGAAAUGCGUAGAUAUUAGGAGGAACACCAGUGGCGAAGGCGACUUACUGGACUGCUACUGACACUGAGGCACGAAAGCGUGGGGAGCAAACAGGAUU
rnacentral:rRNA from 1 species